CCUAACACAUGCAAGUGGAGGGGUAGGGGGAGCUUGCUCCCCUGAGACCGGCGCACGGGAGCGUAACGCGUAUGCAACCUACCUCGUACAGGGGGAUAGCCCAUGGAAACGUGGAUUAAUACCCCAUGGCAUAUGAUUGUAGCAUUACUAUCAUAUUAAAGAUUCAUCGGUACGAGAUGGGCAUGCGUCCCAUUAGCUAGUUGGUAUGGUAACGGCAUACCAAGGCUACGAUGGGUAGGGGCCCUGAGAGGGGGAUCCCCCACACUGGUACUGAGACACGGACCAGACUCCUACGGGAGGCAGCAGUGAGGAAUAUUGGACAAUGGGCGGAAGCCUGAUCCAGCCAUGCCGCGUGCAGGAAGACUGCCCUAUGGGUUGUAAACUGCUUUUAUACGGGAAGAAACACCCCCACGCGUUGGGGGCUUGACGGUACCGUAGGAAUAAGCAUCGGCUAACUCCGUGCCAGCAGCCGCGGUAAUACGGAGGAUGCAAGCGUUAUCCGGAAUCAUUGGGUUUAAAGGGUCCGUAGGUGGAUGAUUAAGUCAGGGGUGAAAUCCCGCGGCUCAACCGUGGAAUUGCCCUUGAUACUGGUUGUCUUGAGUCGUUGUGAAGUGGUUGGAAUAUGUAGUGUAGCGGUGAAAUGCAUAGAUAUUACAUAGAACACCUAUUGCGAAGGCAGGUCACUAACAACGCACUGACACUGAUGGACGAAAGCGUGGGGAGCGAACAGGAUUAGAUACCCUGGUAGUCCACGCCGUAACGAUGGAUGCUAGCUGUCCGG
rnacentral:rRNA from 1 species